CCGGCCCGGCACGGCCGGGCCUGCGGGAGCGGAGCGGCGUGAGGGCUUUACUGUGAGCUUGCAGUGGGGGGGAUUUGGGUUUUCUCCUGCGUGCUCCAUGGAUCACCACACUCCAGAUACUCUGCCACUGUGUCUCCUGUGUCCUGAUGACAUCUUCAUAUUGAUUUCUCUUUCUGUGGAGAAGGAAGCAUCUAUGGGGAAUAUAUACCUAGGAAUAUGUUAGAGUGGUUUUCCCUUAACAGGAGAAGCCACUUUGUUUCUGUUAAGGAAGUAGCAAAACCUCAUUUGCUUCAUGCUCUAAUUUUUGAAGACUGCCUAAAUGAGCUGUGAAUGUGGCUUAGGUUCACUAAAGAAUUUUUGAAAGACUGGCGAAGUCUUGGCAGCAGGAUACAGAACAACUCCAGUGCUGCUGUUAAUGUUGAUGAAAUUGUACUGAGCAACACCAAAGCACCCUGAGGGCAUGUGAUGUACAUGACUCUAUAGAAAUCACAAAUUAGUAUGUAAGUCCAAAGGUUGGUUUAAUAAAGUUGGUGCUCCCUGAAAAACUUCUCUUGUCAAUCUUUACCCCAUUGUGGUUUUAAGAACAUGGUUAAAAAGCAGAUAAAUGGGAAUUUUUCUAUAACCCAAAUUGGGUUUGUAGUUUGUUUUAGAGCAAGAAACUUGACAAAUUAGCGUUUAUUUGGCUGCUAAGGACAGGAGGUUUCAAAGGAGUCAGAUCCAAGUUGGCAUCCUGCAGCCGUCCCCAGGAACACACCAAAUGUGCCAGGUAAUUGCUGAGCCUGUCACUGUGCUGGGUUUGGUGCUUGUUACUCAGCUAAGCUUUAAAGGGCAGUUUAUUGUGUAAAAGUCAUUACAGCUGCUCAGAACUGGGAGGCUUUGAUGUGGGUGGUUCUCUGCAGGUCUUGGAGCUGGCCAAAUCCAAGUUUGGCAGGGACAGGGUGUUGUGCAGGAGUGGAAAGCAGCCAGGGCCUGGCAGGCAGACAUCUGGUGGGCAUUUUGGGGAGAAAAGAGGGAUUAAUCCUGGAAGAAGGAACUGUAGAGGCCCUGGAGCAGUGUGGGAUAAGGUAACUUGUGUAAUCCUGCAUUGAGGGAUGAACCUCCCCAAGAGCCCUGCAGUGCUGGGGGUGAGUGUCCCACGCCUGCCCAGCUUCUCCCUGAGCAGCAGACAAAUAGCAUAGGAAGGAUAACAGGAAAAUAAACUUAUCCUGAGAAGGAAUCAUCAGUCAAAUGCUUAUUUAUGAGUUGGUGCACCAAAGUCACCAGGAUAUUAACAAAAAGUAAAAAUGGUUUGGAACCUCAGAAAAUCUCGGAC